CCGGGGUGGCCGCGCCCCUCUCCCGGCUCCCGGUCUCCGUGCGGCGCGAGGCUCCUGGGGGUCCGCGCACCCACCGCACUGACGGCGCCCCCGCAGGUCAUCCAGCGGAUCUUCUACGCCGUGAACCGGUCCUGGUCCGGCAGGAUCACCUGCGCCGAGCUGCGGAGGAGCUCCUUCCUGCAGAACGUGGCGCUGCUGGAGGAGGAGGCCGACAUCAACCAGCUGACCGAAUUCUUCUCCUACGAGCACUUCUACGUCAUCUACUGCAAGUUCUGGGAGCUGGACACGGACCACGACCUGCUCAUCGACGCGGACGACCUGGCGCGGCACAAUGACCACGCCAUUUCUACCAAGAUGAUCG
rnacentral:sRNA from 1 species